UCCUGGUGGCUGAGAGGUUAAAGCGUCUGCCUGCAAUGCGGGAGACCUGGGUUCGAUCCCUGGGUCGGGAA
rnacentral:tRNA from 1 species